rnacentral:rRNA from 1 species
GUGCACCAGUCGCGAAAACUCCGCAAUACGCGAAAGCGUGACGGGGCUACCCCGAGUGUCGUCCGCUGAGGACGACUUUUCCACGCUGUAAGGAGGCGUGGGAAUAAGGAGAGGGCAAGUCUGGUGUCAGCCGCCGCGGUAAUACCAGCUCUCCGAGUGGUAGGGAUGAUUAUUGGGCUUAAAGCGUCCGUAGCUGGCCUUUCAAGUCUCUUGUUAAAUCCAGCGAUUCAAUCGUUGGACUGCGGGAGAUACUGUUAGGCUAGGGGGCGGGAGAAGCCGACGGUAUUUCCGGGGUAGGGGUAAAAUCCUAUAAUCCCGGGAAGACCACCAGUGGCGUAGGCGGUCGGCUAGCACGCGCUCGACAGUGAGGGACGAAAGCUGGGGUAGCGAACCGGAUUAGAUUUGGAAAGGAGAAAUAUCCUUCCACUGAAGACCCCUGUAGUCC